rnacentral:rRNA from 1 species
UACGGAGGGUGCAAGCGUUAUCCGGAUUCACUGGGUUUAAAGGGUGCGUAGGCGGGUAAGUAAGUCCGUGGUGAAAUCUCCGGGCUUAACCCGGAAAGGUCAGCCGAUACUGCGGGGCUAGAGUGCAGAAGGGGCAACUGGAAUUCUCGGUGUAGCGGUGAAAUGCGUAGAUAUCGAGAGGAACACCUGCGGCGAAGGCGGGUUGCUGGGCUGACACUGACGCUGAUGCGCGAAAGCUAGGGGAGCGAACGGG